GGGGGAUAUUGCGCAAUGGGGGCAACCCUGACGCAGCAACGCCGCGUGAAGGAUGAAGGUUUUCGGAUUGUAAACUUCUUUUAUUAAGGACGAAAAAUGACGGUACUUAAUGAAUAAGCUCCGGCUAACUACGUGCCAGCAGCCGCGGUAAUACGUAGGGAGCAAGCGUUGUCCGGAUUUACUGGGUGUAAAGGGUGCGUAGGCGGCUUUGCAAGUCAGAUGUGAAAUCUAUGGGCUCAACCCAUAAACUGCAUUUGAAACUGUAGAGCUUGAGUGAAGUAGAGGCAGGCGGAAUUCCCCGUGUAGCGGUGAAAUGCGUAGAGAUGGGGAGGAACACCAGUGGCGAAGGCGGCCUGCUGGGCUUUAACUGACGCUGGGGCACGAAAGCGUGGGUAGCAAACAGGAUUAGAUACCCUGGUAGUCCACGCUGUAAACGAUGAUUACUAGGUGUGGGGGGUCUGACCCCUUCCGUGCCGGAGUUAACACAAUAAGUAAUCCACCUGGGGAGUACGGCCGCAAGGUUGAAACUCAAAGGAAUUGACGGGGGCCCGCACAAGCAGUGGAGUAUGUGGUUUAAUUCGAAGCAACGCGAAGAACCUUACCAGGUCUUGACAUCCAACUAACGAAGUAGAGAUACAUUAGGUGCCCUUCGGGGAAAGUUGAGACAGGUGGUGCAUGGUUGUCGUCAGCUCGUGUCGUGAGAUGUUGGGUUAAGUCCCGCAACGAGCGCAACCCUUGCUAUUAGUUGCUACGCAAGAGCACUCUAAUAGGACUGCCGUUGACAAAACGGAGGAAGGUGGGGACGACGUCAAAUCAUCAUGCCCCUUAUGACCUGGGCUACACACGUACUACAAUGGAUGUUAACAGAGGGAAGCAAGACAGCGAUGUGGAGCAAACCCCUAAAAACAUUCUCAGUUCAGAUUGCAGGCUGCAACCCGCCUGCAUGAAGAUGGAAUUGCUAGUAAUCGCGGAUCAGCAUGCCGCGGUGAAUACGUUCCCG
rnacentral:rRNA from 1 species